AACUCACAGAUGCACCAUCAAUCCAGCUGGAGAUUCAAGACCAUAUACAAAAUCGUUUUAUAUCACCAGGACAGAGAAAAGUAGUCGUGAAGUGGGAGUAUGCAAACAGUGAGGCUGUGGCUUACUACAAUGUGACAGUGAGGAAAGUAUCCGGGGAACUUAGCAAUCAGGACAGUUUCAGAACUGAAGAUUCAUCUCUCACCAUGAUCCUGUCUUACUCUGCAUACAACAUCAGUAUCAGAGCUUUAAACACUGCUGGAUCAUCUCCUGUUUCCAGUAUAGCCACUGAGCAAAUGGAUGAAUGGAGGGAUUCAUUUGGGCCAUUCAGUGUCAACAUAACCAGCCACAACCAUUUUAGUCUGUCCUGGAAUAUGUCCGCCUCAAGUGUUUGUUACUCUGUGGAGUGGUGGGCCAAAGGACAGAUACCAACUUUUUGUCCAUUCUACGAAAAGCAGACACGCAAAGAAAUAACUGGGAAAACUGAAAGCUGUAGGAGCAAAGGACGUGACAUGUGGCCAAUUUUUCAGCCAUAUACAAGAUAUUAUUUCGUCCUGCACACCAGACCGUACCCAGACACCUGCCACAUGAAGAAUUUAAACAACAGUGAGACGACCUAUGGCACAGCCCAAGCUUACUUCACUGAAGGAAGUCCUAUCAGUGCUCCUGGGAAUGUGAGCAUUUUUAAUAUUACCCGGCAUUCCUCAGUAAUCACAUGGUGCCCCGUGUCUGAGGAAGACCUGCGUGGAUUCUUAUUAGGCUACUACAUCUACUUGAUGUGGGACAAUAAUGAAACAUCCUUCAAAGUGGAUCCCAGCGUAAACAGUUAUGAGCUGCAGAAUCUUGAAAGCAACAGUGCGUACCGCGUGCAGCUGUCUGCAUUUACAGCGGCUGGAGAAGGAGAGCGAAGUGAUUUCAAACACUUUGUCACAAACCUACUAGAAUUCACAGCUUUGAACAGCAUUAUAGCCGCGGUUGUUGUGGGAAUAAUAAUUCUUUUACUAGCAGUUCACCUCAGCUGUCGACUUCUGCACAGGGUAUCCUGGAGCCACUGAACAGACAGAGGUUAGAGGAAAGUGAGGGAUGUGAUUACACUGCAGUCCAGUACAGUGUUUGUCGUUGGGAGCAAGAGGGAGGCAUCUCCUCUCUGUAGCCCUCCCACUGCUCAGGCUGGUGUGCCCACCACCCUUCUCCUCAGUGAAGAUGAGGACAGCCCAUCCAUCCCGGAGCAGAUCCCACCACCUGACAUCCCAACACAAGUCCUUCAAGGGGCGUUUCUAGGAUUUUCAUUUUAGGGGGGCUCAGCCCCUAACAAGGGUAUGAUUAAAAAAAUAUAUUAUUUGAGGUAGGGUAGGGUAGGGUUGUAUACUACUAACCUUAUUGUAAUCCACUAUUCCAUUGUAUUCCCUGUAUUUCAUAUAUGGGAGUAGGAGUACUGACUGAGCCAUAUACAACACUGUAAAAAAUUUUUGAAAAAUUUAGAUGUGACCAGUCAUUAGAAAAUUUUGAGUUGGGAAUGUAGAUUUUUUUUACAAUGAAGACUUCCUGAUUCAUUAUUAGGACAUUCAUGUUUAUCCUUUGACGAUACCACUGUUUUUUCUUAUGAAAUGUACGUGGAAAUUGGCAGACAAUUAAAACAACAUAAGGGUUCAAUGACUGCAAUUAAUCUUGUGAACACAGUGGUAUUGUGUGUGAGAGGCUGUCUACGUUCUAUUCUCACCUGACUUGCUCAUUUGCAGACCUACUCCCGCACUACAAGAAAAAAUGUUGUAUAUCCAUCUACAAUGAAAUAUAUAUAUAUUAGCCUUUAUAAUCAACAAUACGGUUGGUUAUACAUCAAGUCACCCCCUGAAAAUUUAUUUCAUUUCAAAUCAUUUAACUAACCAGCUAAUAUUCAUUAAGAAUACAGACAAAACAUGUAUUAAUGCAAUUGUCUAUUUGCAAUAUGUUUAAUCUAUUCUAUAUUUAUUUCUAUUUAUUAAAAAUAAUAACAUGAAUUAUCAAUUUGCCACUUCUAUAAAUCAAUUACUUAAAAAAAAAUCACAAAUCCCUUUAAUCUACUCUUACUCUAAUAUAUGUAUCAUGAUACACUAUGAUUCAUUAUUACUUAAUACAAAAAUAUAUUUAAAAAUACAAAACAAAAUAACUCCACAUGAUGUUUCUCUCUCUGUGCCAUUUAGUGCUCUCAGACGUGUGUCUUUAAUCAUUUCUGUGCAUGGCUGCAUAAUGUAAUGCCGAAAUACACAAUAAUAUGUUUUGAAUUUUAAAAAGUAAAUUAAAAUAAAUCACUAUUGUUUUCUAAAGUAUGUUUUCA
ensembl:lncRNA